rnacentral:rRNA from 1 species
CCAGCUCCAAUAGCGUAUAUUAAAGUUGUUGCAGUUAAAAAGCUCGUAGUUGGAUUUCUGGCAGGCUAGUUUCCGCCUCCUUGUGGAUGCGCGGUGGUAGCCUACCAUCCUUCUGUUAACCCAGCAGCUCUUCACGGGGCUGCUGCGGGGCUCAGAUAUUUUACCUUGAGAAAAUUAGAGUGUUUCAGGCAGGCUAGCGCCGGAAUACAUUAGCAUGGAAUAAUAGAAUAGGACUUUUACCUCUUCUGUUGGUCUGAGGGGUUCAAGUAAUGAUUAAUAGGGAUAGUUGGGGGCAUUAGUACUUAACUGUCAGAGGUGAAAUUCUCGGAUUUGUUAAAGACUAACUUAUGCGAAAGCAUUUGCCAAGGAUGUUUUCA